rnacentral:rRNA from 1 species
AUUGAACGCUGGCGGCAGGCCUAACACAUGCAAGUCGAGCGGAUGAAGGGAGCUUGCUCCUGGAUUCAGCGGCGGACGGGUGAGUAAUGCCUAGGAAUCUGCCUGGUAGUGGGGGAUAACGUCCGGAAACGGGCGCUAAUACCGCAUACGUCCUGAGGGAGAAAGUGGUGGAUCUUCGGACCUCACGCUAUCAGAUGAGCCUAGGUCGGAUUAGCUAGUUGGUGGGGUAAAGGCCUACCAAGGCGACGAUCCGUAACUGGUCUGAGAGGAUGAUCAGUCACACGGGAACUGAGACACGGUCCAGACUCCUACGGGAGGCAGCAGUGGGGAAUAUUGGACAAUGGGCGAAAGCCUGAUCCAGCCAUGCCGCGUGUGUGAAGAAGGUCUUCGGAUUGUAAAGCACUUUAAGUUGGGAGGAAGGGCAGUAAGUUAAUACCUUGCUGUUUUGACGUUACCAACAGAAUAAGCACCGGCUAACUUCGUG